CCUACGGGAGGCAGCAGUGAGGAAUAUUGGUCAAUGGGCGCGAGCCUGAACCAGCCAAUGCGCGUGAGGGAAGACGGCCCUACGGGUUGUAAACCUCUUUUGCCGGGGAGCAACGGGCGCCACGUGUGGCGCCACUGUGAGUACCCGGAGAAAAAGCAUCGGCUAACUACGUGCCAGCAGCCGCGGUCAUACUGAGGAUGCGAGCGUGAUCCGGAUUUAUUGGGUUUAAAGGGUGCGUAGGCGGAGCGUUAAGUCAGUGGUCAAAUUGAGGGGCUCAACCCCGGCCGGCCGUUGAAACUGGUUUUCGAGAGUUGGAGAGAAGUAUGAGGAAUUAGUGGUGUAGCGGGGAAAGGCAUAGAGAUCACGAAGAACUCCGAUUGCGAAGGCAGCAUACCGGCUCCAUACUGACGCUGAGGCACGAAAGCGUGGGGAUCGAACAGGAUUAGAUACCCUAGUAGGC
rnacentral:rRNA from 1 species